rnacentral:rRNA from 1 species
GACGAACGCUGGCGGCGUGCUUAACACAUGCAAGUCGAACGGAAAGGCCCUGCUUUUGUGGGGUGCUCGAGUGGCGAACGGGUGAGUAACACGUGAGUAACCUGCCCUUGACUUUGGGAUAACUUCAGUAAACUGGGGCUACUACCGGAUAGGAGCUCCUGCUGCAUGGUGGGGGUUGGAAAGUUUCGGCGGUUGGGGAUGGACUCGCGGCUUAUCAGCUUGUUGGUGGGGUAGUGGCUUACCCAGGCUUUGACGGGUAGCCGGCCUGAGAGGGUGACCGGCCUCAUUGGGACUGAGAGCAGGCUCAGACUCGUACGGGAGGAAGAAGUGGGGAAUAUUGCACAAUGGGCGGAAGCCUGAGGCAGCAACGCCGCGUGCGGGAUGACGGCCUUCGGGUUGUAAACCGCUUUCGCCUGGGACGAAGCGUGAGUGACGGUAAUGGGUAAAGAAGCACCGGCUAACUACGUG